rnacentral:rRNA from 1 species
AGGUAAGCUACUAAGAGCGAAUGGUGGAUGCCUUGACUGGUAAAGGCGAUGAAGGACGUACUAGACUGCGAUAAGCUACGGGGAGCUGUCAAGAAGCUUUGAUCCGUAGAUUUCCGAAUGGGGCAACCCAAUGUAUAGAGAUAUACAUUACCUAUAUAGGAGCGAACGAGGGGAAUUGAAACAUCUUAGUACCCUCAGGAAAAGAAAUCAAUAGAGAUUGCGUCAGUAGCGGCGAGCGAAAGCGCAAGAGGGCAAACCCAGUGCUUGCACUGGGGGUUGUAGGACUGCAAUGUGCAAGAGGUGAGUUUAGCAGAACAUUCUGGAAAGUAUAGCCAUAGAGGGUGAUAGUCCCGUAUGCGAAAAACAAACCUUAGCUAGCAGUAUCCUGAGUAGGGCGGGACACGAGAAAUCCUGUCUGAAGCUGGGUCGACCACGAUCCAACCCUAAAUACUAAUACCAGAUCGAUAGUGCACAAGUACCGUGAGGGAAAGGUGAAAAGAACUGAGGUGAUCAGAGUGAAAUAGAACCUGAAACCAUUUGCUUACAAUCAUUCAGAGCCCUAUGUAGCAAUACAGGGUGAUGGACUGCCUUUUGCAUAAUGAGCCUGCGAGUUGUGGUGUCUGGCAAGGUUAAGCAAACGCGAAGCCGUAGCGAAAGCGAGUCUGAAUAGGGCGCUUAGUCAGAUGCUGCAGACCCGAAACGAAGUGAUCUAUCCAUGAGCAAGUUGAAGCUAGUGUAAGAACUAGUGGAGGACUGAACCCAUAGGCGUUGAAAAGCCCCGGGAUGACUUGUGGAUAGGGGUGAAAGGCCAAUCAAACUUCGUGAUAGCUGGUUCUCUCCGAAAUAUAUUUAGGUAUAGCGUUGUGUCGUAAUAUAAGGGGGUAGAGCACUGAAUGGGCUAGGGCAUACACCAAUGUACCAAACCCUAUCAAACUCCGAAUACCUUAUAUGUAAUCACAGCAGUCAGGCGGCGAGUGAUAAAAUCCGUCGUCAAGAGGGAAACAACCCAGACUACCAGCUAAGGUCCCUAAAUCUUACUUAAGUGGAAAACGAUGUGAAGUUACUUAAACAACCAGGAGGUUGGCUUAGAAGCAGCCAUCCUUUAAAGAAAGCGUAAUAGCUCACUGGUCUAGUGAUUUUGCGCGGAAAAUAUAACGGGGCUAAAGUAAGUACCGAAGCUGUAGACUUGAUUUUAUCAAGUGGUAGGAGAGCGUUCUAUUUGCGCCGAAGGUAUACCGGUAAGGAGUGCUGGAGCGAAUAGAAGUGAGCAUGCAGGCAUGAGUAGCGAUAAUUAAUGUGAGAAUCAUUAACGCCGUAAACCCAAGGUUUCCUACGCGAUGCUCGUCAUCGUAGGGUUAGUCGGGUCCUAAGUCGAGUCCGAAAGGGGUAGACGAUGGCAAAUUGGUUAAUAUUCCAAUACCAACAUUAGUGUGCGAUGGAAGGACGCUUAGGGCUAAGGGGGCUAGCGGAUGGAAGUGCUAGUCUAAGGUCGUAGGAGGUUAUACAGGCAAAUCCGUAUAACAAUACUCCGAGAACUGAAAGGCUUUUUGAAGUCUUCGGAUGGAUAGAAGAACCCCUGAUGCCGUCGAGCCAAGAAAAGUUUCUAAGUUUAGCUA